rnacentral:rRNA from 1 species
CGGGMUUUCAGAGAGGAUGUUCGCUUCGGGAACUCRKACACAGGUGCUGCMUGGUGUCGUCAGCUCGUGUCGGGAGAUGUUGGGUUAAGUCCCGUAACGAGCGCCCCCUUGUCCUUAUUUACCAGCACGUAAUGGUGGGCACUCUAAGGAGACUGCCGGUGACAAACCGGAGGAAGGUGGGGAUSACSUCAAGUUUCCUGGCCCUUACGGCCRGGCUACACACGUGCUAAAUGGUUGGKACAACGGGSUGCCAAGUCGCGAGAGGGACUAAUCCCAUAAAACCAAUCGUAGUKCGGAUCUGGUCUGCAACUCGACUGCGUGAAGUCGGAAUCKCUARUAAUCUCGGAUCMSAAUGCCGCGGUGAAUACSUUCCCGGGCUGWAMACACCGAAA